UAGUUUAGGUACUCACAAUUGUUGGAUGAUUCUGAAACCUAAGCCCCAAAUUGAAAAAAUAAGAUCUACAUUCAGAGAGCGUUUUCCGGUUAAAUGCAGAGCCAAAAUUGGAGUAUCUGACAACUAUAACGUCUUCCUGGACUUCACAAAUGAAGAUGACUUUAACUUAGUGUGGUAUAAAAGAAUGGUAGAAAUCGAUGGUCUUCAGAUGUGGCUGCAAAAGUUGACGCCGAAUUUCAGACCGGACGAGGAUAUUCCAAGAGUGUUGGUAUGGGUAUUACUUCCUACUUUACCUUUUAAUAUGCACACAUGGCACUAUGCUAAAUAAAUUUGCAGCGAGAUUGGAACCCCCUAGCUCUAGAUGUUGCGACAGUUGGUAAAACCAGACCGAGUAUAGCUAAAAUACGGUAGAAAUUAAUCUUUUUAAACCUCUAGUAGACAUUGUAUUUGUGGGAUCGGAGGAUAAAAAUGCACCUUUGAAAGGAUUUACCCAAAAAAUUGAGUAUGAAAAUAUUCCUAAAUACUGUAGACAAUGAAAAAAACUUGGGCAUAACUUAAUAAAUUAUAGAGUUCUGAAAAAAAAAGGGCAGCGAAAGCGGAGAAAAAUAAUAAAGAAGAAAGCUUGAAACAUCUUGAAGAGGGAACUAGUGGAACACAAAAGGAUAAGAAGGGGGAGGAAGAAGAGAAAAAGAAAAGAAAAAUAGAGUUACCAGCAAAUGAAAGCAGUAAUGAGAAUGAUGGACGACAACAAAACGGUUACAAGAACAAGAGUUUGAAUUGCGAGGAGAUUAAAGAAGGAACAUACCAAAAUACUCCAAACAAGAAUCAACAUAGAUUGGAGAUUGAACAAGACAACAAGACUCCCUUGGCUAUAAAGAAUAAUCAAGCUACUAUAGCAUGGAGAACUAGAAAGAAGAGGAAGAAAAACCAUCAGCAAAAAAUGAAUGCCAAAAAAGAAGAGUAAGGUGAUAUUCAAACCCGUUCUAAUACAAGGGAGUAGUAGGCAGAAUACUACAACCAGAACUUCCACCUCCUAGAACCAUGCUGACAUAUCAGAAGGCAUGAGCAUGAAUUACAAUAGUAAGAAGGUGAAGCAUAACAGUGAUGAGGAGAAGUAGGACACAAACAACAACAAGAUGAAAAAGAAACAGGAUCCUAACAACCAAUUUGAUUCAAUGGUUAAAGAGAGUUCAUUAAAUGAACUUAUACAGGAAAAACAAAUACAAAAAGCUAACUCUGAAAGAGGGGAUGCUACUAUCAAUAAAGACCCUUCCGCUAAGAGUACAAAGAAGCAGGGGAUAGUCACAAUACAUAACUUGGAGGAAAUCAGAGAUAAAAACCUUGAGUUGGAGAAGGAACACAUAGGGAAUGAAAGGACUAUGGACUCUAGUUCAUGUUUAACAUGUCUGCCAACAAACAUAAUUGAGCACCCAGGUAUUGAGUUAAUAGUAGAAUUAUAUGUAAAUCAGGAUCAACCACUCAAAAGCAACACAUUCAAGACAGUUGAUCACCCUAUGCAAGACCCUUCACUACAUCAAAGUAUACAAAGACUUGAUCAAAGUGAAGAGAGAAACCAAGACAAAGGCAAUUAUUAAGAAGAAGAAUAUCUACUAGCAGGAAGGGGAAAAAGUAUAGCAAGAAACUCAAGCAAGGCUAACAAAAAUAGAUAUGCAACCUUUGUGAACAGGAAACAAAAGAAAGAUACUCCCUCCCCAAGUAUUUCAUGAUCAAUAUAAUUUUUUGGAAUAUUAGGGAGGUGAGGUCAAAAAAGGCCAUUCAUAGGCUAAAAUAACUAAUACAUUAACAACAUUCUUUAUACUUCAAUCAUGGAACCCAUGAUUAGCAAAGAAAAAAUAGAAGGGUACAGAAAAUUCUUGGGUUAUCAAGAAUGCAUUUCCAAUGAUAAAGGGAAGAUCUGGUACUUCUAAAAAAAUAUCAGUAAUACCUCUAUUAUUGCAAAUGAUGAGCAACAAAUUUCUAUUAAAGUUGAAGAAGGUUCAGACAACCACCCCAUCAUUAUCACUGCUAUCUCUUCUAAAUGUACUGCGAUGGAAAGAAGAGAUUUGUGAUGCAGCCUGGAGAAAAUCAACCUAACUAUUAAUGAUCCUUGGUGCAUUGGAGGUGACUUCAAUAUUAUUCUUGACCCCGAAGAGAAGUUACGUGGUAAACCUCAUAGGAUGCAUAUGAGCUUGGAAUUUCAAAAUUGUAUGGAUAAUUAUGAUACUACAUAUAUUGGCUAUAUAGGUCCCAAAUUUAUCUAGUGUAAUAACAGAGGCCCAAGUAAAAGAAUCUGGAAAAGGAUUGAUAGAGUCUUUAUUAAUGAUAAAUGGGCUCAAAAAUUCCAAAACACUAUUGUGAGACAUUUGGUUGGUUCUGAUCACAGGCCUUUACUCAUGAAAUCUUCAAAUUCUACUAACACUCACUUUAAGUACUUCAAAUUCCUUAACUUCUGGACUUCACAUGAGGGUUUUCACAAUCUAGUUAAGGAAGUUUGGAGUACUAAGAUCAAUGGUAAUAGCAUGUAGCGACUUCAGUCCAAAUUAAAGCUUCUUAGUAAAAGGCCUAGUAAAUGGUCUAGAAAAGAAAUUGGAGACAUUCACGAGCAGGUUGCUAAGUGGGAAGAAAAGAUCCAGGACUUAGAGGAAAUUAAGAUCUAUUACAAUACUGACAUCGACAGGGAAGAAACCAACAAGGCACAUGCUGAAUACAUCAGAUGGAUGGAUAUGCAAGACUCUCUACUUACCCAAAAAGCUAAUGCCUAAUGAUUUGAGAAGGGCGGCAGAAACACUAAUUAUUUUCACAGUAUGCUCAUAGAAAAAAGAAGAAAACUUUCAUUGAAUAGGAUAAAAAACCAUAAAGGCAAAUGGAUACAAGAAGAGGAGAAAAUUGCAAAGGUAGCUAUUCGGCACUUCAACUCCAUGUUCAACCUUCUUUCACCUCACUUGGAUUCUACACUUAUGAAUUGUAUUACUAAAAAGAUCACUGAAGAAGAAAGAGACAAGAUAGAUGAAGAACCCAGUGAGGAAGAAAUCCGACAGACAGUAUUCUGUCUGUCUGCCUCUAGUGCAGCUGGUCCAGAUUGUUACAGUGGCACCUUUUUCCACAACUGUUGGGAUAUCAUUAAAGAGGACAUUAAUUCUUUCGUUUGGGAAUUCUUCAAAGGUACUCCUCUGACCAAAUUCUAUACACAUACUUGUUUAGUUUUAAUUCCUAAGUUGUUUGCCUAUUAGUUUAUCUACUUUCACUAACAAAAUUAUUUUUAAGAUCCUAUCCAUUAGACUUAUUCUUUCUUGACUAGUUUUAUCUCUCCUAAUCAGAGUGGCUUUAUUAAAGAUAGACUCAUCUCUAAAAAUAUUAUACUAGCACAUGAAAUAGUUCAAUCCAUUGAUCAUGUUAAUCAGGGUGGUAAUAUAGUCCUUAAAUUGGAUAUGGUUAAAGCCUAUGAUAGAAUAUCUUGGAGCUUUAUAGCCUCCGUCCUUAGGAAAUUUGGUUUCUCAGAGUUAUGGAUUUAUAAGAUUAUGAAUAUUUUAUCUGAAAUUUGGUAUUCUAUCAUAGUCAAUGGAAAUAGAAAAGGCUUCCUCUCAUCCUGUCAAGGUCUAAAACAAGGGGACCCCUUAUCCCCUUCCCUCUUCAUCUUGGCAGCUGAGGUUAUUACUUGCUCUUUCAACUUAUACUCUAAUGAUAAUUUCAUUCUUUUCUCUAUGCCACAAAGAGCUCCUCAGAUCAAUCAUCUUGCGUUUGUAGAUGAUAUUGUUAUCUUCACUAGUGGUAGCAUUGCUUCAAUUAAUCUUAUUAUGGAUAUCAUUAGAAGAUAUGAGAGCAUCUCAGGCCAAAAGGUUAAUAAUGAUAAGAUUUUCUUUUUAGCUGCUCCUAAUACUUGUGUUACUAGAAUCAAUCGAAUCAGGAAUGCAACAGGUUACAUGGACAAGAACUUCCCUUUUACUUAUCUAGGUUGUUCUAUUUAUAUAGAAAGGAAGAUGUUAGUUUAUUUUGACUGUCUUGUUAAUAAAAUUGUUAAGAAGCUCAAUGGGUGGAAUAGUAAAAUAUUGGCUCAUGAAGGGAGAAUUAUUUUGAUCAAACAUGUUUUUCAAUCUCUCCAUAUAUAUACUUUAUCUGCUAUGUCCCCCCUCCCCCCCAAGGCAUUUUUAAAUUGAUUGAGAAGCAUUUUGCUAAUUUUUUUGGGGCUACUCUGACAACCAAAAGAAAUAUCAUUGGAGAUCUUGGAAAAAAUUAUGCUUCCCCAUAGAGAAAGGAAGCAUUGGACUGAAAAGAAUGGAGGUCUUUGAUAAUAUCCUUGCCUCGAAAAGGUGGUGGAGAUUUAGAACCAUCCCCUCUUUGUGGGCUACCUUCAUGAAACAUAAAUAUUAUCCCAAAUCCCAUUCAAUGAGUAAGAAAAAGACCUCUGGUAAUUCCCAUGCCUGGCAAAAAAUGAGAAAAGUCAGAGACAAGGCAGAACCUCACAUUUUAUGGCUUAUAAACUCUGGAAAUUCAAGUAUAUGGUGGGACAACUGGACUGGAAAGGGUCCUUUGGUAGCACUUCUACCAGACAUCAACAACAAUCCAAAAAUUCUAGUCAAAGAGUUUAUACACAAUGAAAGAUGGAACAUUCAAAACUUGGAGAUGCCUUCCCAGAGUAAAUUGUUCAAUAUAUUGUGAAUAUCAACAUUGGCAAUCAAGACAUUCCAGACCAAGCUAUAUGGGGCCUCACAGAAAAUGAGUGAUGCAGCUAGGUACAUUUGGAAGACCAUAGGUGCCCCUAUGAGAAUAGUAUAUAAGAAAAUUCCCAUUAGAGGAUAGCUUAAUCACUGGUGGCAGCAAAAGAGCAAUAAUGUCAUACAUAAACAGAUCCUGCAAAUCACUCCUAUCAUCAUUUGCUGGGGAAUCUGGAAAAGUAGGUGCUCAUGUAAGUAUGGAGAUCAGAAAAGAUUCAACUUCUACAAGAUGAGGCAGCAGAUAAUCUGGAACAUUCAAGCUGCAGUAUCCUUCCCUGGAUCCAAACUGACAUUGCCUUGGGUCAAAUACUGUGAAGUCAUGAUGAGGCUACAACAUGUUCCUGAAGCCAUUAAUGUAGCUUGGAUUAAGCCUCCCCAAGGAUCCUUCAAAGCUUAACACUAAUGAAAAUUAUAUACAUGGAAAUGGUAAAGCAGGAUUGGAAGGAACUAUGAGCAAUGACCAGGGAGAAAUCAUUAUGGCCUUUUCUAUCUCUGCCAAAUGCACUAGCAACAAUGAUGCAGAAGCACAAGCAGCAUUAUUUGGAGUCAAAUGGUGCAUUCAAAAUGGUUACUCUUGCUACAUCAUUGAACUAGAUUAUCUUCUGGUGGUAAAUAUAUUGAAAGAGAGGCGUACAGAUAACUAUCAAAUAAAGAGAAUCAUUGAAGAGACAACACAGUUAAUGAACCCAGCCAAUGUUACUCCUAAUCACUGUUAUAGAGAGGCUAACUAAGUGGUGGCCACUUAGCUAACUGGGCUACAACCACUUAUGACAGUAACAUAUAUUAUUACUUUGGCCAAAUACAUAGACAACACCUUAAAGUUGUUAAGAUUUUUUACUUAGACACUUUAACCAAGUAUGCGACCUAUUAGACACCCAAACAACCAUGAAAGUGUUUCAAUUGAACAUAAAA